GUGCCAGCCGCCGCGGUAAUACGGAGGGUGCAAGCAUUGAUCGGAAUUACUGGGCGUAAAGGGCGCGUAGGCGGUACGAUAAGUCAGAUGUGAAAUUCCGGGGCUCAACCCCGGAGCUGCAUUUGAAACUGUCAUACUAGAGUUCAGUUAGGGUAAACGGAAUUCCACGUGUAGCGGUGAAAUGCGUAGAUAUGUGGAAGAACACCGGUGGUGAAGACGGUUUACUGGGCUGAUACUGACGCUGAGGCGCGAAAGCAUGGGGAGCAAACAGGAUUAGAUACCCUGGUAGUCC
rnacentral:rRNA from 1 species